UAGGGGGUACGGCGGCUAUGGGGGUGGCGGGCCGCAGGCAGGGGCCAUGGGCAAAGACUACUACCAGAUGCUGGGCCUGGCCGGAGGCGCGUCGGACAUGUAGAUCAAGCGGGCCUACCAUCGCCAGGCGCUGCACUACCACCUGGACAAAAACAAGGAGCCCGGCGCCGAUAAGUUCAAGGAGAGGCCUACGACAUGCUGAGCGACCCACGCAAGCGCGAGAUCUUCGAUCGCUACAGGGAGGAAGGGCUAAAGGGCAGAGGCCCCAGUGGCGGUAGCGGUAGUGGUGCCAAUGGUACCUCUUUCAGCUACACAUUCCAUGGAGACCCUUGUGCCAUGUUUGCUGAAUUCUUCAGUGGCAGAAAUCUCUUUGACACCUUUGGGCAGUGGAACAGGGAGGAAGGCAUGGACGUUGACGACCUAUGGGCAUGGGUGGCUUCACCAACAUGAACUUUGGCCGCUCCCGCCCUGCCCAAGAGCCCACCUGAAAGAAGCAAGAUACCCCAGUCACCCAUGACCUUCGGGUCUCCCUUGAAGAGAUCUACAGCGGCUGCACCAAGAAGAUGAAAAUCUCCCACAAGUGGCUAAACCCUGAUGGAAGGAAGGGACCAAAAUCGCAUUCCCCAAGGAAGGAGACCAGACCUCCAACAAUAUUCCAGCGAUAUUGUCUUUGUUUUAAAGGACAAGCCACACAGUAUCUUUAAGAGAGAUGGCUCUGAUGUCAUUUAUCCUGCCAGGAUCAGCCUCCGGGAGGCUCUGUGUGGCUGCACAGUGAACAUCCCCACUCUGGAUGGCAGGACUAUACCCGUCGUAUUCAAAGAUGCCAUCAGGCCUGGCAUGCAUCAAAAAGUUCCUGGAGAAGGCUUCCCCCUCCCCAAAACACCCGAGAAACGUGGGGACCUCAUUAUUGAGUUUGAAGUGAUCUUCCCUGAAAAGAUUCCCCAGACAUCAAGAUCUGCACUUGAGAAGGUUCUUCUGAUAUAGCUACCUGAGCUCUCCAGACUGACUAGGGACCUUUCUAGAGCUCAAGGAUUUCUGGACCUUUCUACCAGUUUUGGACCAUGAGAGGGCAGAGGGCCCAGGGAGGGUUUUCAUACUGCUGAGUGUUUUCCAGAGCAUAUAUUACAAUCUUUCAAAGUCGUACACUAGACUUAAGUGGUUUUUCGAGCGAUAGGGCAUCAGGUGGUGGGAACAGCAGGAAAAGGCAUUCCAGUCUGCCCCACUGGGUUCAGCAGCCCUCCCGGGAGGGGCCCACAUCCUCCUCCUCCAGUCUCUGUCCAGGGGUGAGAGGCAGACCAGCAGCUGGACUGGAUGCCUGUGUCCCUUUGCUUCUGGCUGGUAGAUGGUGUCAAGCUGCUGCCAGACCCUGUACACUCCUUGGUCUCUGUUGUGUGAUCAGUUUGUGAUUUAUUCUGUAUUUGUCUCCCAUGUCUUAUUCUUCCCCUGAAGAAUCCUGUCUACUCUUUGGCCAUCUCAAAUUGAGAACCUCUAAACUAUUCCUGCAGAACUGCCUGGCUGGCACCCACAAGCAAUACCUCUUGUUCCAGCAGGACCAAGGGAGCCAGUCUCCAGCGAGUUACUCCAGUAAAUGCAGCCACCUCUCACUCGAGGGUCUGGGAGCCUGGCCCCAGCAAGGGACCCUCUGGACCUCUGGCUCUAGGGAAGCUGAAUGUGCUCACUACAGGUCACACUUUCCAUUUCUGUAAGGCAAUCUUGUCACACCUGGGUCAUACCAGUGGCCUAGGUAAUUUUUUGUUUCAUGGACUCUGGACUCUUUAAAAGGGAUCUGAUCCUUUUGAAUUUUGCACAGACCUAGAUAUAAUCCCUUUUGAUAAAAGGGUCUUUGCUUCUGAUUACAGGAGCACUGUGGAACAUCUGUAAAUAUGUUUUUAUAAUUAAUUCCGUGUAUAGUUGGUGUACACUCAAAUAAAACCGGUCCCCAGCAGCCGCGGCUCUCUGCACAGGGCCAUAAUGGAAUUCUGAAGAAAUCUUGGGGAGGGAGUUGCAACAAAUGUCUGUUCCCUCGACACCAGUUGGGUGCUCAGACCUUUAGACUCAUUGUAAGUUGCCACUGCCAACAUGAGACAAAAGUGUGUGACUUGUCAAUGCAGUGCGACAGCAUUAAAGACUGAUGCUAAACCUCA